rnacentral:rRNA from 1 species
UACGUAGGAUGCGAGCGUUGUCCGGAAUUAUUGGGCGUAAAGAGUUCGUAGGCGGUUUUCUAAGUUUGGUCUUAAAGACCGGGGCUCAACCCCGGGAAUGGAUCGAAAACUGGGAGACUCGAGGAUGUUAGAGGAAAGUGGAAUUCCAAGUGUAGCGGUGAAAUGCGUAGAUAUUUGGAGGAACACCAGUGGCGAAAGCGACUUUCUGGGACAUUUCUGACGCUGAGGAACGAAAGCUCGGGGAGCAAACAGG